rnacentral:rRNA from 1 species
UACGUAGGGGGCAAGCGUUGUCCGGAAUCAUUGGGCGUAAAGAGCGUGUAGGCGGCCUGGUAAGUCCGCUGUGAAAGUCCAGGGCUCAACCCUGGAAUGCCGGUGGAAACUGUCAGGCUCGAGUCCGGAAGAGGCGAGUGGAAUUCCUGGUGUAGCGGUGAAAUGCGUAGAUAUCAGGAGGAACACCGGUGGUGUAGACGGCUCUCUGGACCGUAACUGACGCUGAGACACGAAAGCGUGGGGAGCGAACCGG